UACGGGGGGGGCAAGCGUUGUUCGGAAUUACUGGGCGUAAAGGGCGCGUAGGCGGCUCGGUAAGUAGGGGGUGAAAUCCUGCGGCUUAACCGCAGGGCUGCCUUCUAAACUGUCGAGCUUGAGCACGGUAGAGGCAGAUGGAAUUCCCGGUGUAGCGGUGGAAUGCGUAGAGAUCGGGAAGAACAUCAGCGGCGAAGGCGGUCUGCUGGGCCGUUGCUGACGCUGAGGCGCGACAGCGUGGGGAGCAAACAGG
rnacentral:rRNA from 1 species